rnacentral:rRNA from 1 species
UACGUAGGGGGGCAAGCGUUGUUCGGAAUUACUGGGCGUAAAGGGCGCGUAGGCGGCACAACAAGUCGGGAGUGAAAGCCCGGGGCUCAACCCCGGAAUGUCUUUCGAAACUGUUGAGCUAGAGUGCAGAAGAGGCAACUGGAAUUCCCAGUGUAGCGGUGAAAUGCGUAGAUAUUGGGAAGAACACCUGAGGCGAAGGCGGGUUGCUGGGCUGACACUGACGCUGAGGCGCGAAAGCCAGGGGGAGCAAAACGGGG